CCUGGCGGCCUUAGCGCGGUGGUCCCACCUGACCCCAUGCCGAACUCAGAAGUGAAACGCCGUAGCGCCGAUGGUAGUGUGGGGUUUCCCCAUGCGAGAGUAGGGAACUGCCAGGC
rnacentral:rRNA from 44 species